UAUUCAUAUGCUUGUCUCAAAGGUUAACCCAUGCAUGUCUCAUUAUAACCUUUUACACGGCAAACCUGCAAAGGGCUCAUUAAAACAGUUAUCGUUUAUCUGGGGGUCACUCAUUACAUGGAUAACCAUGGUAAUUCUAAAGCUAAUACAUGCCCCCAAACCCAACUUUGCGAAAGGGUUGUGUUUAUUAGGUACAAAACCAAUCCAGGCCUCCCCGGGUCUUUUGGUGAUUCAUGAUAACCAAACAAAUCGCAGGGCAUCCGCUGGCAAUAAAUCAUUCAAGUUUCUGACCUAUCACCUUUCGACGGUAGGGUAUUGGCCUACCGGGGCAAUGACGGGUAACGAAAAAUUAGGGUUCAAUUCCGGAAAGGGAGCCUGAAAAACGGCUACCACAUCUAAGGAAGGCAGCGGGCGCGCAAAUUACCCAAUCCUGACACAGGGAGGUAGUGACAAAAAAUAACAAUACAGGGCAUAUUUGUCUUGUAAUUGGAAUGAGUAAAAUUCAAAUCCCUUUAUGAGUAUCGAUU
rnacentral:rRNA from 1 species